AUUGAACGCUGGCGGCAUGCCUUACACAUGCAAGUCGAACGGUAACAGGUUAAGCUGCCGAGUGGCGAACGGGUGAGUAAUGUAUCGGAACGUGCCCAGUCGUGGGGGAUAACUGCUCGAAAGAGCAGCUAAUACCGCAUACGACCUGAGGGUGAAAGCGGGGGAUCGCAAGACCUCGCGCGAUUGGAGCGGCCGAUAUCAGAUUAGGUAGUUGGUGAGGUAAAGGCUCACCAAGCCGACGAUCUGUAGCUGGUCUGAGAGGACGACCAGCCACACUGGGACUGAGACACGGCCCAGACUCCUACGGGAGGCAGCAGUGGGGAAUUUUGGACAAUGGGCGCAAGCCUGAUCCAGCCAUGCCGCGUGCGGGAAGAAGGCCUUCGGGUUGUAAACCGCUUUUGUCAGGGAAGAAAAGGUUCUGGCUAAUACCUGGGACUCAUGACGGUACCUGAAGAAUAAGCACCGGCUAACUACGCG
rnacentral:rRNA from 1 species